CAGCAAAUCCCCUGGAGCAUCACUAUUACAAGGAGAAACUCAGUUUCUGUGAAGCUCGAGGCUAUUCCUGGACCCCCAGGAACCGCCGACCGGAGAAGCUCCGUGAUUCGCUGAAGGAGUUGGAGGAACUGUUGCAGACCAACACAUGCGUUCACAGCAGAUGGAGGAGCAAGCAUUGCUGCCAGGUGUUGCUGAGCAGUGGAGUCCUGGUGACCCUGAACCUAAAUGGACCUCAGCUCGAACAAGUGUAUGUGGACCGAACAUUAGUGGGUCGACUACCAGCCAACACUGUGGCUGAUGGUUAGUUACACACACAGACACACACACACACACACACACACGCACACACAGCUGUUGCACAACUAUCACCUCUGUUAUGUCAGUAAAGAAUGCUUUCUCCUGUAUUGUUUCUUAUUUUUUAACUUUAAUUUUUUUGAUAUGGCACACACUUUUUUAUAUUAUGGAAACAGACUCAAGUACUUUACUUAAAUCCAGUAAAAAUUAAGAAAUAAGUUAAUAAAUCUAAAAGCAAAGCAAAAAACACAUCUCCCGUAUUGUUGCGAUGUUUGCAUUCAGUUAUUGAAAUUAUGUGUGUGAUGUAAAUA